AAACAUCAAAGGACUAGUAUCAUCAUGACGACUGCUUGCCUAAUUGUUCUCCUGGUCACGUGCGUUGUUCUGGCUUUGAUGGCAAUGACUGAAGGCCGGCGCAUUAUGGAAUCCAUCAAUCCUCUUGAAAGUGUAGCAGAGUUCUGCCCGUGCAUGUAUCCAUGGUGUUGCCAUGCCCGGUGAAAAGAUUAGGAACCGAACGACCAUGACGAAUGCAUGCAGUUGGGCUAUGUAGACAAUGUUUUAUGCAUUAAAAUAUUGUCAAAAA